ACCUUGACGGUACCUAACCAGAAAGCCACGGCUAACUACGUGCCAGCAGCCGCGGUAAUACGUAGGUGGCAAGCGUUGUCCGGAAUUAUUGGGCGUAAAGGGCUCGCAGGCGGUUUCUUAAGUCUGAUGUGAAAGCCCCCGGCUCAACCGGGGAGGGUCAUUGGAAACUGGGGAACUUGAGUGCAGAAGAGGAGAGUGGAAUUCCACGUGUAGCGGUGAAAUGCGUAGAGAUGUGGAGGAACACCAGUGGCGAAGGCGACUCUCUGGUCUGUAACUGACGCUGAGGAGCGAAAGCGUGGGGAGCGAACAGGAUUAGAUACCCUGGUAGUCCACGCCGUAAACGAUGAGUGCUAAGUGUUAGGGGGUUUCCGCCCCUUAGUGCUGCAGCUAACGCAUUAAGCACUCCGCCUGGGGAGUACGGUCGCAAGACUGAAACUCAAAGGAAUUGACGGGGGCCCGCACAAGCGGUGGAGCAUGUGGUUUAAUUCGAAGCAACGCGAAGAACCUUACCAGGUCUUGACAUCCUCUGACAAUCCUAGAGAUAGGACGUCCCCUUCGGGGGCAGAGUGACAGGUGGUGCAUGGUUGUCGUCAGCUCGUGUCGUGAGAUGUUGGGUUAAGUCCCGC
rnacentral:rRNA from 1 species